AUUGAACGCUGGCGGCAGGCCUAACACAUGCAAGUCGAGCGGAUGACGGGAGCUUGCUCCUUGAUUCAGCGGCGGACGGGUGAGUAAUGCCUAGGAAUCUGCCUGGUAGUGGGGGACAACGUUUCGAAAGGAACGCUAAUACCGCAUACGUCCUACGGGAGAAAGCAGGGGACCUUCGGGCCUUGCGCUAUCAGAUGAGCCUAGGUCGGAUUAGCUUGUAGGUGAGGUAAUGGCUCACCUAGGCGACGAUCCGUAACUGGUCUGAGAGGAUGAUCAGUCACACUGGAACUGAGACACGGUCCAGACUCCUACGGGAGGCAGCAGUGGGGAAUAUUGGACAAUGGGCGAAAGCCUGAUCCAGCCAUGCCGCGUGUGUGAAGAAGGUCUUCGGAUUGUAAAGCACUUUAAGUUGGGAGGAAGGGCAGUAAGCUAAUACCUUGCUGUUUUGACGUUACCGACAGAAUAAGCACCGGCUAACUCUGUGCCAGCCGCCGCAGUAACAC
rnacentral:rRNA from 1 species